rnacentral:tRNA from 1 species
UUAACUAAAGCCAAAGAAGAGGCUUUCCUUUGUUAAUGGAAAUAUUGAUUUGUAGAAUCUAGUUAUA